rnacentral:rRNA from 1 species
UCUAAGUUUGAUGGCGACCGGCGCACGGGUAAGUAACACGUAUCCAACCUGCCGAUGACUCGGGGAUAGCCUUUCGAAAGAAAGAUUAAUACCCGAUGGCAUAGUUCUUCCGCAUGGUAGAACUAUUAAAGAAUUUCGGUCAUCGAUGGGGAUGCGUUCCAUUAGGUUGUUGGCGGGGUAACGGCCCACCAAGCCUUCGAUGGAUAGGGGUUCUGAGAGGAAGGUCCCCCACAUUGGAACUGAGACACGGUCCAAACUCCUACGGGAGGCAGCAUG